rnacentral:rRNA from 1 species
GUUUUCCUACGGGGGGCAGCAGUCGAGAAUCAUUCACAAUGGGGGAAACCCUGAUGGUGCGACGCCGCGUGGGGGAAUGAAGGUCUUCGGAUUGUAAACCCCUGUCAUGUGGGAGCAAAUUAAAAAGAUAGUACCACAAGAGGAAGAACCGGCUAACUCUGUGCCAGCAGCCGCGGUAAUACAGAGGUCUCAAGCGUUGUUCGGAAUCACUGGGCGUAAAGCGUGCGUAGGCUGUUUCGUAAGUCGUGUGUGAAAGGCGCGGGCUCAACCCGCGGGCGGAACAUGAUACAGCGAGACUAG